rnacentral:rRNA from 1 species
AGUCUGCCAGUGUGCGCGCUUGNUCGGAAGUUUAAAGGGCUUCCUGGUACCAGGGCCUUCCGGCNGCUUAUGCGUAUUUCUGCAGACNCAUUUNACUCUCUNUCCGAAGGACGCUGCAGCCGGUGGGGCAGUGCAAGCACGGCGGCCUGAAGGUCGGGAAAUGGNAGGUGGCCUCUGGCGCGUGUAGUGCACGCUGGUGGUUUUUAGCCGUCCCGUCAGUGGUCGUCACCUCACCGAGGUAUCACGAGACCCCCUCUUGGGCCUCUCCUGUCUCCUCCAAAGGACACNGGAUGGAUCGCCACUGGUGAAGGCCACCGACCCGUCGCACUCCAUAGGAUUGGACGGGCGUUGCGUCGUUGCCGUAGGAGGCGGCAAGACCCGUCGGAGACUGAANGCUGGCANCGAGUAGGUCGGUCACCCACCCGACCCGUCUUGAAACACGGACCAAGGAGUCUAACANNUGCGCNAGUCAAUGGGUCUUGAACAGGCCUANGGGCGCAAUGAAAUCGAAGGCCGGCGUCAUUUUGGNCGAGUUUGGAUCCUUCGCAUUCGUGCGGGGGCGCACCAACNACCCGUCCUGUCCCGUGGGAUGGAGUGUGAGCGUACACGUUGGGACCCGAAAGAUGGUGAACUAUGCCUGGACA